rnacentral:tRNA from 2 species
GCGCUGGUAGCUCAGUUGGUUAGAGCGGACCGCUCAUAACGGUUUGGUCGUGGGUUCAAGUCCCUCCCGGCGCACCA